CCGACAGUAAAAAUAUCAGUGAGGAUGUUGCGACACCAGGCUAGUCACCCAAAUUUGGAGCCACCUGACCCCCCUGGGUCUGAGCUUAGGUGAAGGUCUUUAGGGUCCCCUGUGGAGUUCAGUAGAGAUGGGUAGAAUACCUGGACACAACACAGAGAGUCGCUGUUGACUGUGGAGUUGGGGCGCAGGGCCCUCUGGCUUCCCCCGGAACACUCUGUAUGGGCAGACUCACUGUGGGAAGUGCAUGGUGUGGAAGGGGAUGCUCCGAGGUCAGACCCAGGAAGGUCAAAGCUGUGUAAGCUUCUUGCCCUGGCGACAGUAUGCUCAGAGAGAAGAGGCAUGCUACCCCAGAGUCCUGACUGGCUUCAUAUGGAGUAGUUCCAAAGCAUUGGCCCGCUGACUCCGUGACACUGCUGUAACCAUGGUACCUAACAAUGAUCUAGAUUAUGAGUCACCUCCAGUAAUGUACUAUAUGCUGAACUCUGCAGACAUCAAACCAUGUUAUAACAGUCGAGAGACUGUAGUUUUGCUGUUGUAGCAAGGCACUUUUUUUCUGAGUUUGGGUUAAUCUGGAAUCAGGAAUAAACAUUCUGCAAUGGUU